UAAUACGUAGGGUGCGAGCGUUGUCCGGAAUUACUGGGCGUAAAGAGCUCGUAGGUGGUUUGUCGCGUUGUCCGUGAAAACUCACAGCUUAACUGUGGGCGUGCGGGCGAUACGGGCAGACUGGAGUACUGCAGGGGAGACUGGAAUUCCUGGUGUAGCGGUGGAAUGCGCAGAUAUCAGGAGGAACACCGGUGGCGAAGGCGGGUCUCUGGGCAGUAACUGACGCUGAGGAGCGAAAGCGUGGGGAGCGAACAGGAUUAGAUACCCUGGUAGUCCACGCCGUAAACGGUGGGUACUAGGUGUGGGUUUCCUUCCUUGGGAUCCGUGCCGUAGCUAACGCAUUAAGUACCCCGCCUGGGGAGUACGGCCGCAAGGCUA
rnacentral:rRNA from 1 species